GAGUUCGUGCAUUCAAGUGACUGCGACGAGAAGAGCAGGAUAUUCCUCCCGGGUUUCACUAGAAGCAAAGCGUCCUGAGGCCUGGUGCCUUCAGUGCCUUCACAAAGACCCCCUUCUCUGCUUUAAGUGAAAGCUAGAGGAAUGAAGGGCACUUGGCCUGGGAGACCACCCAAGAACAGUGCUUCGUUCAUCACCCGGAGACAGUGGCCUGUUCAAAAGAGGAUUUCUCAACUUUAGAAGGAUGAUUCUGGCUGUGGUGUUGAGAAGAUACUCCAGCGAGGAUGGAAGUUGAGACAAACGUGGCAGCAGGAAGACCCUCUAAGGAGCUACGGCAAUAGAAGAAAAGGACUGAGGUCCUCUCGCCACCAAACUGAAGCUGAAACCUCAGCCUCUCAGUUCAUCAUUUGAAUGGUGUCAAGAAUAUGAGAUGGUGUGAGGAUGAUGGGAGAAAGGGCAUCUGAAAUGCUUGUUUUGGUUCCUCCUUAAUCCACAGUCAGUACUCACUAGAGUAGCCAUGGUUUUAAUUAUUUUAAGAGGAAGAUUCACAAGGAUGUGCCCACAAAACACUGCCAAUUUGCAGCUGAAAAUGAUAACUGGAUUGAUAUUCCUCUUUGAGAUGCAAGCAGAUGCCUCCACCAACUAUCUCGAACCGGAAUGCCGCAGCCUCCCCUUCGUCCGCAUUUAUCCUUGGCAGGAGCACCGUCUAUUUUGGGAAGGACGAAUCCCUGAGGACACCUGCAAAGGACUGGAAGCUCUUAGCAACUCCUUGACCUGAGAGUGAGGAACCGAGAGGCGGGGAGCCCCAGGACCUGCCCAUCAUCACGUCUCUGCAGUGGCCUUGCCACAACCUGCCCGGCGGGUUCUCCUGGAUUGGGGGAAGGUCUGGACCCGUGUCCCUCGGGGGUUCUCCUAGGUCUCUUAUGGAGGAGGUGGCAGGGCAGGGAAUUGCGCAGGGACUUUCGACUCCAUUUCCAAGGCACAUGCUUUUGUUAAGUGCUAAGACUUCUGUAAGAUAGUCGGAGUGGAAAAUGGAACUCUUAACCCUAGACCCUAAAGUUUAACUCUUUCAUGAUCGCUACAAUGGGCGCUAAAGAGAAGAGAACAGAGGAAACAGUCUGGGCAAAUGUAUCCUGUUUGUUGUUAUGGGGCUUUGGUCUCAAAUCUCUGUGGUUGAGCUGAGCUAGUUUGGAGCAUGUGUCAGCUGUGAGCAUGCCCUUUGCCUGUCUAAAUUCAGGUGGAAGACGAAAAGCCUAAUGAUAAGUUCAAGGUCAAAUAAGUCUAAAUAUGAAUAAGAAGCAAUAAAGCAUAGUCCUAAAGUCAGAUGUGAAAGCGAGAGAAUGUGAUGCUUAUGGAUGAGAAAAGUGAGACAGGCCUUAUGGAAUCUCCAGCUUUCAUGCUGGACUUUGUUUGGUAUAGAACCUUCUCAGCAUGGUGCUAGGAUGCUCCCUUCUCAGGAAAUAGCUCAGACGGGAGAAACCUUGAGCUUCUCCCAGUAGCUGAAAGGUGCCUCAAACAUUCAUUACAGCUUCUUAGACAGAGUUCGCUGAGGAAAGUUGUGUUCCCUGGGGCUGAAAAUUCUAGUAGACUGUAGGUGCUUUCAAACUUUGUGGUUUUUAUUUAUUUUUAUUUUAAAAAAUUUUUUGAAAAGAUACUUCUUUUAGGCAUAGAAACUUAUACAGAACUCUAAUAUGUAACUGGUUAAAAUGUAUUCUAUUUGUAUAAAUUUAUUUUAGGAACUCAAAUGCAGUGAAGCUUUGCUACAUGCACUCUUUACUGGAUAACAGUGAGGAGAGUGGGCGGGGAGAUAUCCACUCAGUGAAAAGGAGAUUGCAAACCAAAUUUCCAAAA
rnacentral:lncRNA from 1 species